rnacentral:rRNA from 1 species
AGAGUUUGAUCCUGGCUCAGGACGAACGCUGGCGGCGUGCUUAACACAUGCAAGUCGAGCGGAAAGGCCCUUCGGGGUACUCGAGCGGCGAACGGGUGAGUAACACGUGAGUAACCUGCCCCAAACUUUGGGAUAACCCUCGGAAACGGGGGCUAAUACCGGAUAUGACACAGCUUCGCAUGGGGUCUGUGUGGAAAGUUUUUCGGUUUGGGAUGGGCUCGCGGCCUAUCAGCUUGUUGGUGGGGUAACGGCCUACCAAGGCGACGACGGGUAGCCGGCCUGAGAGGGCGACCGGCCACACUGGGACUGAGACACGGCCCAGACUCCUACGGGAGGCAGCAGUGGGGAAUAUUGCGCAAUGGGCGGAAGCCUGAUGCAGCGACGCCGCGUGAGGGAUGACGGCCUUCGGGUUGUAAACCUCUUUCAGCAGGGACGAAGCGCAAGUGACGGUACCUGCAGAAGAAGCGCCGGCCAACUACGUGCCAGCAGCCGCGGUAAGACGUAGGGCGCGAGCGUUGUCCGGAUUUAUUGGGCGUAAAGAGCUCGUAGGCGGCUUGUCACGUCGACUGUGAAAUCCCGCGGCUCAACUGCGGGUCUGCAGUCGAUACGGGCAGGCUAGAGUUCGGUAGGGGAGACUGGAAUUCCUGGUGUAGCGGUGAAAUGCGCAGAUAUCAGGAGGAACACCGGUGGCGAAGGCGGGUCUCUGGGCCGAUACUGACGCUGAGGAGCGAAAGCGUGGGGAGCGAACAGGAUUAGAUACCCUAGUAGUCC